rnacentral:rRNA from 1 species
AUUGAACGCUGGCGGCAGGCCUAACACCUGCAAGUCGAGAGAGCGGCGGACGGGUGAGUAAUGUAUGGGGACUGCCAGAUAGAGGGGGAUAACUAAUGGAAAGGGUGGCUAAUACCGCAUACUAUCGGCUAACCAAUAUGGGAUUAGCUAGUAGGUGGGGUAAAGGCUCACAUAGGCGACGAUCUCUAGCUGGUCUGAGAGGAUGAUCGGCCACACUGGGACUGAUACACGGCCCAGGAUCUGACGGAAGCAGCAGUGGGGAAUCUUGCACAAGGGGCACAAGCCUGAGGAAGCCAUGCCGCGUGUAUUAAGAAGGCGUUAGGGUUGUAAAGUACUUUCAGCGGGGAGGCGUUACCCGCAGAUGAAGCAACGGCUAACUCCGUGCCAGCAGCCGCGGUAAUAC